CCUACGGGAGGCAGCAGUGAGGAAUAUUGGUCAAUGGGCGAGAGCCUGAACCAGCCAAGUCGCGUGAAGGAUGACGGCCCUACGGGUUGUAAACUUCUUUUGUCAGGGAGCAAUUGAGUCCACGUGUGGGCUUAGCGAGAGUACCUGAAGAAAAAGCAUCGGCUAACUCCGUGCCAGCCGCCGCGGUAAUACGGAGGCUGCGAGCUUUAUCCGGAUUUAUGGGGGUUAAAGGGUGCGUAGGCGGAAUAUCAAGUCAGCGGGAAAAAUUCGGGGCUCAACCCCGUCGUGCCGUUGAAACUGAGGUUCUUGAGUGGGCGAGAAGUAUGCGGAAGGCGUGGUGUAGCGGUGAAAUGCAUAGAUAUCACGAAGAACUCCGAUUGCGAAGGCAGCAUACCGGCGCCCAACUGACGCUGAAGCACGAAAGCGUGGGUAUCGAACAGGAUUAGAUACCCCUGUAGUC
rnacentral:rRNA from 1 species